UAACAGGAUUCCCCUAGUAACUGCGAGUGAAGCGGGAAAAGCUCAAAUUUAAAAUCUGGCGGUCCUUGGCUGUCCGAGUUGUAAUUUAGAGAAGCGUCUUCCGCGCCGGACCGUGCACAAGUCUCCUGGAAUGGAGCGUCGUAGAGGGUGAGAAUCCCGUCUUUGGCACGGACACCCGGUGCUUCUGUGAUGCGCUCUCGAAGAGUCGAGUUGUUUGGGAAUGCAGCUCAAAAUGGGUGGUGAACUCCAUCUAAAGCUAAAUAUUGGCGAGAGACCGAUAGCGAACAAGUACCGUGAGGGAAAGAUGAAAAGCACUUUGGAAAGAGAGUGAAACAGUACGUGAAAUUGUUGAAAGGGAAACGCUUGAAGUCAGUCGCGUCGACCGAGACUCAGCCUUGCCUUGGCUUGGUGUACUUCUCGGACUGACGGGUCAGCGUCGAUUUUGCUGCUCGGAUAAUGGCAAGGGAAAGGUGGCACCUUUGCGGGUGUGUUAUAGUCUCCUGUCGCAUGCGAGGGGCGAGAUCGAGGAACUCAGCGCGCGCCUCUGGCGUCGGGGCUUUGGCCCACGUAACGCGCUUAGGACGCUGGCGUAAUGGCUUUAAACGACCCGUCUUGAAACACGGACCAAGGAGUCCAACGUGCCCGCGAGUGUUCGGGUGGAAAACCCGUGCGCGUAAUGAAAGUGAAAGUUGGGACCUCUGUCGUGGAGGGCACCGACGCCCGGACCAGACCUUCUGUGACGGAUCUGCGGUAGAGCGUGCAUGUUGGGACCCGAAAGAUGGUGAACUAUGCCUGAAUAGGGUGAAGCCAGAGGAAACUCUGGUGGAGGCUCGUAGCGAUUCUGACGUGCAAAUCGAUCGUCAAAUUUGGGUAUAGGGGCGAAAGACUAAUCGAACC
rnacentral:rRNA from 1 species